ACCACUUCACCUCCAGUGAUAACUUCCCUCACACUGGAAUACACAAAGGCUGCAGAGGUUCCAAAGAGAUCACGUGCUAUGCGAGGAUCUGACAAGAUGGUGUGGUUCUGGAAUGAGCAGCAUGAGAGGAUGGCCUCGGGACCAGAUGCUGCUGGAGGCAGACCCGAUGAUCCAGUGUGGGUACCACAAGCCUCCUGCAUUUCUCCUACCAGGAAAGUCGUGAGUAAAGAGAAGUUUGGUAAAUUGACCCAGUGGUCCUAGCAACCUCCAUGACCAUUUCCAAUUGCUUCAUCUUUAGCUGACAACACUUCUUACCUAACUUAGCCCAUAGCAUUUCUGUAAAGGAAGGUGAUGAGCUGUAAGUAAACGCUUAAAUGC